rnacentral:rRNA from 1 species
UACGGAGGGGGCUAGCGUUGUUCGGGAUUACUGGGCGUAAAGCGCACGUAGGCGGCUUUGUAAGUUAGAGGUGAAAGCCCAGGGCUCAACCCUGGAAUUGCCUUUAAGACUGCAUCGCUUGAACAUCGGAGAGGUAAGUGGAAUUCCGAGUGUAGAGGUGAAAUUCGUAGAUAUUCGGAAGAACACCAGUGGCGAAGGCGACUUACUGGACACAUAUUGACGCUGAGGUGCGAAAGCGUGGGGAGCAAACAGG